CUUGAUCUCAGCAUUGCAAGCUAGAGAGACAAAGAAAAAGCAACCGAAGGCAGCGAAAUAUACAGGUUAAUAUGUUGCAUCAGGAGAUUGACCAGAAAAUUUUGUUGCCAAUGGCCUUGGUUGCAUCUCAGUUGCUGGGUUUAUAUUGUCAAUCCAUUUUUCUGUAGCUAGAACCCCUCAAUAUGUAAGGUGGGUGUAAUUGAGGUCAAUUUUUCUAAGUGGACAGUCGAUAUAUUAACUGAAACCAAGAAAAAGGGCAUGAAAAUUUGAAAACUCAACGAUGAAAAAAUUCCUUUACAUUCAAUAAUAGAAGAAGAGGAAAAUAGAAUUUGCAAAUUUUACUUGUGAUGGCUAGGCAAAGAGCAAGCCAGAGGUUGGAGUAAUGUGACACGAGUUAUGGAGAAAGCUGGGAUUUUAUUCUAAUUGAGGGUGAAAAGAAUUGGGUUUUAGCUUUGGGAAUAAUCUGAAUGAGAAGGGAAAAUGUGGUGGCCAUGAAGGGGGGGGGAAAAAAACAUAGAGGAGAUGGCAGUGCAAAAAAGAGAAAAGCAUUGAGAGGAAGAGGAAGAUUGUGAAAGAGAAGAAGAAUGUUAGCGAGGGAGAAAGAUGGGAUCUGAGAGAGAGGAAAAAGGAAAGGAUAGGGUAGCUUUGAGACUUGGCAAAGAAGGAAACUUUUGAUCUUUUCAUAAUAUACUAAUGGCAAAGAGCUGAAAGUUUGGACAGAAAAACUUAAUAGUUGAUGGAGUAAAAAGUUUGGGAUGUAUUAAUGUAAUUAUAGAAAUACAAAAAUCAACUCGUAAUUAUCGUCAAAACUCACGGACCUUGUUGUAAUUCACCCAAAAAGAAAAAUGAAGAAUAAAAAUUUCUUGGUUAAGUGGUUUCUAUUUGCAUUCAAUUGUUAAAUGAGACUUCAACAAUAAUCAAGCACAAAUAGUUUAACUUGUAAAUGAAAAGCCAGUACUCAACUAAGUCUCAGUCCAAAACUAGCUGAGAUCCGCUAUAAGUCCCCCAUUCACUAAAAUCGCUGAAGAACUUAGUACAAAAAGUUUUCUUUUUAAUCGGCUUCGGCUCUUCCUUAAACCACAGAUAUCAACCGUUAGAUUGAAAAUUUAAGAAAAUAUAUGAAUUGGGUUCUUCGAGGAUAGCUUCCAUUCGAUGAAUAUAUAACUUGAUUCACUAAACCCUUUUGCUAUUACUAUUUCCCUCUCUGCUCAGCCCAGAAAGCUUAACACCACAGAUACAAAGCAAAGAGUAGAUCAGUGCUAGCCCAAAUAACUAAUCAGGGCAAACUAAGAAACGUUUGCAAUAACUGGAUUUAACAAACACUCUGUAAUUGAAUUUUUCAGAACUCUCACAGUAUUAAACCAGUUAACCAUCAAAUCGAAACCCAAAAUUUAGCUAAAAGCGGGCAAAAUUACCAAGAAGAGAGGGAUAUAGAGCGAGAACUAACCUGGAAUCCUGCAUGGAGGGUUU
rnacentral:misc_RNA from 1 species